rnacentral:rRNA from 1 species
AACGAACGCUGGCGGCGUGCUUAACACAUGCAAGUCGAACGCACCGCAAGGUGAGUGGCGCACGGGUGAGUAACGCGUGGGAAUCUACCUUUUGGUUCGGAAUAACACAGGGAAACUGGUGCUAAAACCGGAUACGCCCUUCGGGGAAAAAUUUAUUGCCAAAAGAUGAGCCCGCGUUGGAUUAGCUAGUUGGUGAGGUAAUGGCUCACCAAGGCGACGAUCCAUAGCUGGUCUGAGAGGAUGAUCAGCCACACUGGGACUGAGACACGGCCCAGACUCCUACGGGAGGCAGCAGUGGGGAAUAUUGGACAAUGGGGGAAACCCUGAUCCAGCAACGCCGCGUGAGUGAUGAAGGUCUUCGGAUUGUAAAGCUCUUUUGGCAGGGACGAUGAUGACGGUACCUGCAGAAUAAGCUCCGGCUAACUUCGUGCCAGCCGCCGCGGUAA